CCUACGGGUGGCAGCAGUGGGGAAUAUUGCGCAAUGGGCGAAAGCCUGACGCAGCGAUGCCGCGUGAGGGAUGAAGGUCUUCGGAUCGUAAACCUCUGUCAGCAGGGAAGAACGGUCACUGUGCUAAUCAGCAGUGAAUUGACGGUACCUGCAAAGGAAGCACCGGCAAACUUCGUGCCAGCAGCCGCGGUAAUACGAAGGGUGCGAGCGUUGUUCGGAAUUACUGGGCGUAAAGGAAGUGUAGGCGGAUAUGUAAGGGAGCGGUGAAAUGCCGGGGCUCAACCCCGGAACUGCCAUUAUGACUAUGUAUCUAGAGUAAUGGAGAGGAUAGCGGAAUACCCAGUGUAGAGGUGAAAUUCGUAGAUAUUGGGUAGAACACCGGUGGCGAAGGCGGCUAUCUGGCCAUUUACUGACGCUGAGGCUCGAAAGCAUGGGGAUCAAACAGGAUUAGAUACCCCAGUAGUC
rnacentral:rRNA from 1 species